rnacentral:rRNA from 1 species
ACUCCUACGGGAGGCAGCAGUGAGGAAUCUUSCGCAAUGGGGGCAACCCUGACGCAGCAACGCCGCGUGAGUGAUGAAGGCCUUCGGGUCGUAAAGCUCUGUCAGAUGGGAAGAAAGUUUUAGCGGUAAAUAAUCGCUGAGAUUGACGGCACCGUCAGAGGAAGCACCGGCUAACUCCGUGCCAGCAGCCGCGGUAAUACGGAGGGUGCAAGCGUUGUUCGGAAUUAUUGGGCGUAAAGAGCGUGUAGGCGGCCGGGUAAGUCAGAUGUGAAAGCCCUUGGCUUAACCAAGGAAGUGCAUUUGAAACUGCUUGGCUUGAGUMCGGGAGGGGGAAGUGGAAUUCCUGGUGUAGAGGUGAAAUUCGUAGAUAUCAGGAGGAACACCGGUGGCGAAGGCGGCUUCCUGGACCGAUACUGACGCUGAGACGCGAAASCGUGGGGAGCAAACAGGAUUAGAUACCCUGGUAGUCCACGCCGUAAACUUUGGGCACUAGGUGUUGCGGGUAUUGACCCCUGCAGUGCCGAAGCUAACGCAUUAAGUACCCCSCCUGGGGRGUACGGCCGCAAGACUAAAACUCAAAGGAAUUGACYMGGUKWA